UGCGCACACCUGUGCGCAAUCUGGGCGGAAUCAGUCACCUGGGAAAGUAUAAGAGGCUCGGCGUUCCUGUCCCUCCUCGCCAGAUCGUACCGUCAUCUUCCGUGACUCCUUCGGUUCUACCUCCACCGUUCCAUUCAUCGCCGCUCCAGCCGUCUCUGCCUCGCCGCCCAGGAAUCACUCCACUGUCCUGUCUUUUUCUUUGUUUCUUUUGUUUCCGUGAACUGGUUAAAAACUGGUUAAGCCGCCUAUCACCUCUCCUGUCUGCUUUUGAGUCCAGGUCUGUAUUAUAUACUACUAUAACAGAUGAUUUGUUAGGCAUUCAUAAAAAAAAAAUAUAGAAAUCAUUUGCAGAUGUUAUGUCCCUUAAUCUAAAGUGAAGACUAUUCAUUAUUUACAAAUGUCUGUUAAUCUUUAUAAAUGAUUUGUGAACCUUUUACUUACCUCUUAUGAACAAUCUGGCUUUAAUAAAUACAGAUAUGAAGCAAUUACUAACUUGUCCUUUCAUGUUGAAACAAAUGAUCUGUUAGACAUUCAUAAAACGUAUAUAAAUCAGUUGCAGAUGUUCUUAUGUCCCCUAAUCUAAAGUGAACCAUAUUCAUCAUUAACAAAUAUCUAAUAAUGCUUGCUAAAGAUUUGUAGACUUUUUUUUUAUCACAUGUAAUAAAUGUUGUUGACAA